GGGGAUAUAGCUCAAUUGGGAGAGCGCCCGCCUUGCACGCGGGAGGUUGUCGGUUCAACUCCGACUAUCUCCA
rnacentral:tRNA from 1 species